rnacentral:rRNA from 1 species
GAGUUUGAUCCUGGCUCAGAUUGAACGCUGGCGGCAGGCCUAACACAUGCAAGUCGAGCGGAAACGAGUUAACUGAACCUUCGGGGAACGUUAACGGCGUCGAGCGGCGGACGGGUGAGUAAUGCCUGGGAAAUUGCCCUGAUGUGGGGGAUAACCAUUGGAAACGAUGGCUAAUACCGCAUAAUAGCUUCGGCUCAAAGAGGGGGACCUUCGGGCCUCUCGCGUCAGGAUAUGCCCAGGUGGGAUUAGCUAGUUGGUGAGGUAAUGGCUCACCAAGGCGACGAUCCCUAGCUGGUCUGAGAGGAUGAUCAGCCACACUGGAACUGAGACACGGUCCAGACUCCUACGGGAGGCAGCAGUGGGGAAUAUUGCACAAUGGGCGCAAGCCUGAUGCAGCCAUGCCGCGUGUAUGAAGAAGGCCUUCGGGUUGUAAAGUACUUUCAGCAGUGAGGAAGGUGGGUAUGUUAAUAGCAUACUCAUUUGACGUUAGCUGCAGAAGAAGCACCGGCUAACUCCGUGCCAGCAGCCGCGGUAAUACGGAGGGUGCGAGCGUUAAUCGGAAUUACUGGGCGUAAAGCGCAUGCAGGUGGUUUGUUAAGUCAGAUGUGAAAGCCCGGGGCUCAACCUCGGAAUUGCAUUUGAAACUGGCAAACUAGAGUACUGUAGAGGGGGGUAGAAUUUCAGGUGUAGCGGUGAAAUGCGUAGAGAUCUGAAGGAAUACCGGUGGCGAAGGCGGCCCCCUGGACAGAUACUGACACUCAGAUGCGAAAGCGUGGGGAGCAAACAGGAUUAGAUACCCUGGUAGUCCACGCCGUAAACGAUGUCUACUUGGAGGUGGUGGCCUUGAGCCGUGGCUUUCGGAGCUAACGCGUUAAGUAGACCGCCUGGGGGAGUACGGUCGCAAGAAUUAAAAACUCAAAAUGAAUUUGACGGGGGGCCCCGCACAAAGCGGGGGGAGCAUUGGCGGGUUUAAAUU